UGAAAUGGUUAUGAAUUUCUUACUGUAAUUUUCUUAGUUGUUUCUUUUUGGCCCUAGAAGUAGAGUUUUCUUCUUAGUUGGGGAGAUCUGUUGCCACCAGUUUACAUUAACUCUAAGAGCUGAGCGAGGUCAGCCUGUUCCUGCUCCUGCAACUUGGUUCUUUUCCUCAACUAACUAAUUUAGAUUAAAAGAGGGCAAGUGCCUGUUGACUAUGUGUUAUAAAACUUUCUCUUGUAUCAUCUUCACUUCUGCUGCCCUUAUUCUAGGCUACCAAAAUGUCCUAUCUGGUUUCUUUGCUUCUGUUCAUUUCCCUGAAAGAGCAGAGUGAGGUUUCAAAACAUGAAUCAGAGCAAAAAGCCAUCAGUGUUUCCUUAGUAUGUGUAAACUAAAAUCAGACUCCUUACCAUGACCUCUGAGGCCAGGUAUGGUUGUCCCUCCCUGAGUCUCUCUUGUACUCUUGAAGUUCCAGCCAUGCCACCUUUUCUUCUAUCGAAGUUCUCUGAGCGUCUUUUGUCUCAAAACCAUUGCAUGGGUUGUUCCUCUGCCUAGAGCUCUCUUCCUCCACAUCUGUGAUGGUUCACUUUUCCUGACAUUCAAGCUUUAGCUCAAAGGAAACAUUUUCUGGGACCUUUCUUUCAGUCUUCUACCUUUAGCUCCCAAGUGGACCUCGUCUCAUGCCCUUUUACUUCCUUCUCACUACUUAAAACUAUGCAGUGUACGAUUGUCCCUUUCACUUUAAUAAUUGGUCACCAGUUAGAUAUAAAUUCUCUAAAAUCUAUGAUCCUGUCUAUUUUGUUUGGCA
rnacentral:lncRNA from 1 species